GAUGCUCAAAACUCACUGGCGACUAUCGGCCCCUCAUCCAAGAGAUCCCUCUCAUCUACAUUGGUGUUCGGAUCCAGUGAACUGAAAUUGAUCAUACCCGAGCCCUGACAAAGGAUUUAUCUCCGUUGACAACUUUGCCUUCUUCAGGUCUAGUUUGCAUUGCGACACCCCUGCAGAUUUUUGGACGAGAAAUAUGGGGAAUAUGGAAAGACUAUCAACAGCAGAGGAUGUAUGAUGUAUGGAAUCUUUUUUUUCCUUCCUCUCUAAUCUCUCUUUGGAUGAGAAAAUAUGAGUAGAAAGACUAUCAAGUGGUCUUCAUGGCCAUCCCCCAUCUCUCAAACAGUUAUAUUUUGUAAGUAGCUUGAAUUUUGGGUACUUGCCGGAGGAUGGCUUCCCUCCCUCCCUCAAAGUAUUCCCCAUAAUUCAAUGUGAGAUUCUGAAGGAUGGAUCCUCUCUUUUCGGCAACUACUGGCACCUCAUCCAAGAAAUCCCACUGAUUGUGAUUGAUCUAGUUUGGAUCCAACAGGAAGAUUUCUCUCCACUGUCUUGAGUUUUGUUCUUCAGGAAAGGCGGAGAGGAGCGACCAGGGAGAUUAUGCUCUGUUGCUCUGUUGAGUCAUCAUGAAAGCCUCGCGUCUGCCACCAAGUAUUUUGAUCUAAAAUUGCGAGAAGAUCGUCAUCCAAAACCACUCGCAACCCAGUUGUCUCAGGUAGGCGAGUCUCAUCACUAUAACCCCACCAAGCUGCCAGAGCUACUGUCGCGAUUGAGGAAAGAUACGGGCACUACCAUUGCACGUGGAUUAUCCUCAUGACCUCGCAUUUGUGGAAUAUCAGCUUGUACAAUUACGCCACCAUCACAAGUGGUCAACGCUUCCCCAUAGUUCUGCAUUAACAUAAUCGUAAGGGUCAAUUGGGAAAAACAAAAUCAUGAAAAGAGUCACUCCUUUUUCAGAUUUGGAAGAGGCAGCACCCUAGUUUUUCUCAUUGUUUUUGGUUGCAUUGGGGCGAGUACAUAUAUAAUUUGUUCGUCUGAUUACUCUCGUAAUU